UACGGGGGGGGGCAAGCGUUGUUCGGAGUUACUGGGCGUAAAGGGCUCGUAGGCGGCCAACUAAGUCGGAUGUGAAAUCCCCAGGCUCAACUUGGGAACUGCAUCCGAUACUGGAUGGCUUGAAUUCGGGAGAGGGAUGCAGAAUUCCAGGUGUAGCGGUGAAAUGCGUAGAUAUCUGGAGGAAUACCGGUGGCGAAGGCGGCAUCCUGGACCGACAUUGACGCUGAGGAGCGAAAGUGUGGGGAGCGAACAGG
rnacentral:rRNA from 1 species